rnacentral:tRNA from 1 species
AAGGGUAUAGCUCAAGGGGUAGAGUGUGUGCUUAGCAUGCAGGAGGUCCUGGGUUUAAUCCCCAGUACCUCCU